rnacentral:rRNA from 1 species
GGUUAAGCGAACAAGCGUACACGGUGGAUGCCCUGGCAGUCAGAGGCGAUGAAGGACGUGCUAAUCUGCGAAAAGCGCCGGUAAGGUGAUAUGAACCGUUAUAACCGGCGAUGUCCGAAUGGGGAAACCCGGUGCACUUCGGUGCAUCAUCGUUAGCUGAAUACAUAGGCUAACGAAGCGAACCGGGGGAACUGAAACAUCUAAGUACCCCGAGGAAAAGAAAUCAACCGAGAUUCCCCCAGUAGCGGCGAGCGAACGGGGAACAGCCCAGAGCCUGAAUCAGCUUGUGUGUCAGUGGAACGGUCUGGAAAGGCCGGCGAUACAGGGUGACAGCCCCGUACACGAAGGCACACAGGCUGUGAGCUCGAUGAGUAGGGCGGGACACGUGAUAUCCUGUCUGAAGAUGGGGGGACCAUCCUCCAAGGCUAAAUACUCCUGACUGACCGAUAGUGAACCAGUACCGUGAGGGAAAGGCGAAAAGAACCCCGGCGAGGGGAGUGAAACAGAACCUGAAACCGUGUACGUACAAGCAGUGGGAGCCUUCGUAAGAGGGUGACUGCGUACCUUUUGUAUAAUGGGUCAGCGACUUAUAUUCUGUAGCAAGGUUAACCGUAUAGGGGAGCCGAAGGGAAACCGAGUCUUAAUUGGGCGUUAAGUUGCAGGGUAUAGACCCGAAACCCGGUGAUCUAGCCAUGGGCAGGUUGAAGGUUGGGUAACACUAACUGGAGGACCGAACCGACUAAUGUUGAAAAAUUAGCGGAUGACCUGUGGCUGGGGGUGAAAGGCCAAUCAAACCGGGAGAUAGCUGGUUCUCCCCGAAAGCUAUUUAGGUAGCGCCUCGUGAAUUCAUCUCCGGGGGUAGAGCACUGUUUCGGCUAGGGGGCCAUCCCGGCUUACCAACCCGAUGCAAACUGCGAAUACCGGAGAAUGUUAUCACGGGAGACACACGGCGGGUGCUAACGUCCGUCGUGAAGAGGGAAACAACCCAGACCGCCAGCUAAGGUCCCAAAGUCAUGGUUAAGUGGGAAACGAUGUGGGAAGGCCCAGACAGCCAGGAUGUUGGCUUAGAAGCAGCCAUCAUUUAAAGAAAGCGUAAUAGCUCACUGGUCGAGUCGGCCUGCGCGGAAGAUGUAACGGGGCUAAACCAUGCACCGAAGCUGCGGCAGCGACGCUUAGGCGUUGUUGGGUAGGGGAGCGUUCUGUAAGCCUGCGAAGGUGUGCUGUGAAGCAUGCUGGAGGUAUCAGAAGUGCGAAUGCUGACAUAAGUAACGAUAAAGCGGGUGAAAAGCCCGCUCGCCGGAAGACCAAGGGUUCCUGUCCAACGUUAAUCGGGGCAGGGUGAGUCGACCCCUAAGGCGAGGCCGAAAGGCGUAGUCGAUGGGAAACAGGUUAAUAUUCCUGUACUUGGUGUUACUGCGAAGGGGGGACGGAGAAGGCUAUGUCAGCCGGGCGACGGUCGUCCCGGUUUAAGCGUGUAGGCUGACUUUCCAGGCAAAUCCGGAAGGUUAAGGCUGAGGCGUGAUGACGAGGCACCACGGUGCUGAAGUGACAAAUGCCCUGCUUCCAGGAAAAGCCUCUAAGCAUCAGGUAACAUCAAAUCGUACCCCAAACCGACACAGGUGGUCAGGUAGAGAAUACCAAGGCGCUUGAGAGAACUCGGGUGAAGGAACUAGGCAAAAUGGUGCCGUAACUUCGGGAGAAGGCACGCUGACAUGUAGGUGAAGCCCCUGCGGGUGGAGCUGAAGUCAGUCGAAGAUACCAGCUGGCUGCAACUGUUUAUUAAAAACACAGCACUGUGCAAACACGAAAGUGGACGUAUACGGUGUGACGCCUGCCCGGUGCCGGAAGGUUAAUUGAUGGGGUUAUCGCAAGAGAAGCUCCUGAUCGAAGCCCCGGUAAACGGCGGCCGUAACUAUAACGGUCCUAAGGUAGCGAAAUUCCUUGUCGGGUAAGUUCCGACCUGCACGAAUGGCGUAAUGAUGGCCAGGCUGUCUCCACCCGAGACUCAGUGAAAUUGAACUCGCUGUGAAGAUGCAGUGUACCCGCGGCAAGACGGAAAGACCCCGUGAACCUUUACUACAGCUUGACACUGAACAUUGAGCCUUGAUGUGUAGGAUAGGUGGGAGGCUUUGAAGCGUGGACGCCAGUCUGCGUGGAGCCAACCUUGAAAUACCACCCUUUAAUGUUUGAUGUUCUAACCUGGCGCCAUAAUCUGGCGUGGGGACAGUGUCUGGUGGGUAGUUUGACUGGGGCGGUCUCCUCCCAAAGUGUAACGGAGGAGCACGAAGGUCAGCUAAUCCUGGUCGGACAUCAGGAGGUUAGUGCAAUGGCAUAAGCUGGCUUGACUGCGAGAGUGACGGCUCGAGCAGGUGCGAAAGCAGGUCAUAGUGAUCCGGUGGUUCUGUAUGGAAGGGCCAUCGCUCAACGGAUAAAAGGUACUCCGGGGAUAACAGGCUGAUACCGCCCAAGAGUUCAUAUCGACGGCGGUGUUUGGCACCUCGAUGUCGGCUCAUCACAUCCUGGGGCUGAAGUAGGUCCCAAGGGUAUGGCUGUUCGCCAUUUAAAGUGGUACGCGAGCUGGGUUUAGAACGUCGUGAGACAGUUCGGUCCCUAUCUGCCGUGGGCGCUGGAGAAUUGAGGGGGGCUGCUCCCAGUACGAGAGGACCGGAGUGGACGCAUCACUGGUGUUCGGGUUGUCAUGCCAAUGGCACUGCCCGGUAGCUAAAUGCGGAAGAGAUAAGUGCUGAAAGCAUCUAAGCACGAAACUUGCCCCGAGAUGAGUUCUCCCUGAGACUGUAAGUCUCCUGAAGGAACGUUGAAGACGACGACGUUGAUAGGCCGGGUGUGUAAGCGCAGCGAUGCGUUGAGCUAACCGGUACUAAUGAACCGUGAGGCUUAACCUU